CAGUAGCCACGGUAAUACGUAGGGUCCGAGCGUUGUCCGGAAUUAUUGGGCGUAAAGGGCUCGUAGGCGGUUUGUUGCGUCGGGAGUGAAAACCCAGGGCUUAACUUUGGGCUUGCUUUCGAUACGGGCAGACUUGAGGCAUUGAGGGGAGAACGGAAUUCCUGGUGUAGCGGUGAAAUGCGCAGAUAUCAGGAGGAACACCGGUGGCGAAGGCGGUUCUCUGGCAAUGUUCUGACGCUGAGGAGCGAAAGUGUGGGGAGCGAACAGGAUUAGAUACCCGCGUAGUCCCUGUCUCUUAUAC
rnacentral:rRNA from 1 species